UGGGGAAUAUUGCACAAUGGGGGAAACCCUGAUGCAGCCAUGCCGCGUGUGUGAAGAAGGCCUUCGGGUUGUAAAGCACUUUCAGCGAGGAGGAAAGGGGGAUAGCUAAUAUCUAUUCUCUGUGACGUUACUCGCAGAAGAAGCACCGGCUAACUCCGUGCC
rnacentral:rRNA from 1 species